AUUUAGCUGACGAGUCCUAAAUAGGACGAAACGCGCAUCCUGGAU
rnacentral:hammerhead_ribozyme from 1 species